rnacentral:rRNA from 1 species
AACGAACGCUGGCGGCAUGCCUAACACAUGCAAGUCGAACGAGACCUUCGGGUCUAGUUGCGCACGGGUGCGUAACGCGUGGGAACCUUCCCUUAUGUUCGGAAUAACUCCCCUAAAUGGGUGCUAAUACCGGGUAAUGUCUGCUGACCAAAGAUUUAUCGACUUUGGAUGGGCCCGCGUUGGAUUAGCUAGUUGGUAGGGUAAAAGCCUACCAAGGCUACGAUCCAUAGCUGGUCUGAGAGGAUGAUCAGCCACACUGGGACUGAGACACGGCCCAGACUACUACGGGAGGCAGCAGUGGGGAAUAUUGGACAAUGGGCGAAAGCAUGAUCCAGCAAUGCCGCGUGAGUGAUGAAGGCCUUAGGGUUGUAAAGCUCUUUUACCCGGGAUGAUAAUGACAGUACCGGGAGAAUAAGCUCCGGCUAACUCCGUG